CAGCCGUACAGUUAACUGAGGUGACGUGGACUACAGGGAGGAGGGCUGCACUUCUUUCUGAGGUAUCCAGACAAUGGAUGAAAUAUCUUACUGAAUAUUGGUAUAAUCAUAAUCAAAGUGACUCUCCUCAUAGACAAAACCAACCGCCUGAUGCACACCAGCUUCUCAACUGUGUCCCGUGUCCCUGAGAGUUCU